GCCAGUGUGUUUAGUGGUUUGAAUGUUGGACUGUGACUCUGGAGAACAGGGUUCAAAUCCCUGCGCAGUCA